CAUUAAUAAGGAUGCUGGAAGGGGGUGAGCCCACGCCUCCCCUAGACGGUAUACCCCACCCGUGUCUAUCUACUCUUGUUGCUUUGGCAGGCCGUGGCCUCCACUGUGGGCUCUGCCUGCAUGUGCCUGCCAGAGGAUUAAACUCUGAAUUUUAGUGAUGUCUGAGAACUAUCUAAUAGUUAAAACUUUCAACAACGGAUCUCUUGGUUCUGGCAUCGAUGAAGAACGCAGCGAAAUGCGAUAAGUAAUGUGAAUUGCAGAAUUCAGUGAAUCAUCGAAUCUUUGAACGCACAUUGCGCCCUGUGGUAUUCCGCAGGGCAUGCCUGUUCGAGCGUCAUUAUAACCACUCAAGCCUGGCUUGGUGUUGGGGUUUGCGGUUCCGCAGCCCCUAAAAUCAGUGGCGGUGCCGGUGGGCUCUACGCGUAGUAAAUCUCCUCGCGAUUGAGUUCCCCCGGUGGCCUGCCAGAACCCCCAAUUUUUACAGGUUG
rnacentral:rRNA from 1 species